GACGAACGCUGGCGGCGCGCUUAAUACAUGCAAGUCGAGCGAGAACCAGCCCUUCGGGGCUGGGGAAAGCGGCGAACGGGUGAGUAACACGUGGGUAAUCCACCCUCGGCACCGGGAUAGCCCGGGGAAACCCGGAUUAAUACCGGAUGGCCCGUCUGCUCUUUGGGGCGGACGGAAAAGGUAGCUUCGGCCUCCGGCCGAGGACGAGCCCGCGGCGGAUUAGCUUGUUGGUGGGGGUAACGGCCCACCAAGGCGACGAUCCGAGCUGGUCUGAGAGGACGAUCAGCCACACUGGGACUGAGACACGGCCCAGACUCCUACGGGAGGCAGCAGUAGGGAAUCUUGGUCAAUGGGCGAAAAGCCUGAACCAGCCAUGCCGCGUGCAGGAAGACGGCCCUACGGGUUGUAAACUGCUUUUGUACCGGAAUAAACCUUUCACGUGUGAGAAGCUGAAUGUACGGUAAGAAU
rnacentral:rRNA from 1 species